rnacentral:rRNA from 1 species
UACGUAGGGGGCAAGCGUUGUCCGGAAUUACUGGGCGUAAAGAGCUCGUAGGUGGUUUGUCGCGUUGUCCGUGAAAACUCACAACUCAAUUGUGGGCGUGCGGGCGAUACGGGCAGACUGGAGUACUGCAGGGGAGACUGGAAUUCCUGGUGUAGCGGUGGAAUGCGCAGAUAUCAGGAGGAACACCGGUGGCGAAGGCGGGUCUCUGGGCAGUAACUGACGCUGAGGCACGAAAGCGUGGGGAGCAAACAGG